rnacentral:rRNA from 1 species
UCCCCGUCAAUUCAUUUGAGUUUUAGCCUUGCGGGCCGUAGUCCCCAGGCGGCUCACUUAUCGCGUUAGCUUCGACGCGGAGGGGGUUGAUACCCCCCACAUCUAGUGAGCAUCGUUUACAGCGUGGACUACCCGGGUAUCUAAUCCGGUUUGCUCCCCACGCUUUCGCGCCUCAGCGUCAGGAAAGGCCCAGAAGGCCGCCUUCGCCACUGGUGUUCCUCCCGAUAUCUGCGCAUUCCACCGCUACACCGGGAAUUCCGUUCUCCUCUACCAAACUCUAGCUAUAGCAGUAUCGACCGCAGUCCCGAAGUUGAGCCUCGGGCUUUCACGACCGACUUACUAAGCCGCCUACGAGCUCUUUACGCCCAAUGAUUCCGGACAACGCUCGCCCCCUACGUAUCACCGCGGCUGCUGGCACGUAGUUGGCCGGGGCUUAUUCUGGAGGUACCGUCAAUUUCGUCCCUCCCUAAAGGGGUUUACAACCCGAAGGCCUUCAUCCCCCACGCGGCGUUGCUGCGUCAGGCUUUCGCCCAUUGCGCAAAAUUCCCUGCUGCUGCCUCCCGUAGGAGUCUGGGCCGUGUCUCAGUCCCAGUGUGGCUGAUCGUCCUCUCAGACCAGCUACCCGUCGACGCCUUGGUAGGCCGUUACCCCACCAACAAGCUGAUAGGCCGUGAGCCCAUCCCGUAGCGCAAAAGCAUUUCCUCUAUGAAGCCAUGCGGUUCUAAGAGAAUAUCCGGUAUUAAUCCAAGUUUCCCUGGGCUAUCCCGGUCUGCGGGGCAGGUUGCUCACGUGUUACUCACCCGUUCGCCGCUCCGUAAUAGGCUUGGUUACCCGCACCUAUUCGUCGCUCGACUUGCAUGCAUUAGGCACGCCGCCAGCGUUCGUCCUGAGCCAGGAUCAAACU